rnacentral:rRNA from 1 species
CCUACGGGAGGCAGCAGUGAGGAAUAUUGGUCAAUGGACGCAAGUCUGAACCAGCCAUGCCGCGUGCAGGAAGACGGCUCUAUGGGUUGUAAACUGCUUUUGUACGAGGGUAAACGCAGAUACGCGUAUCUGUUUGCAAGUAUUUUAUGAAUAAGGAUCGGCUAACUCCGUGCCAGCAGCCGCGGUAAUACGGAGGAUUCAAGCGUUAUCCGGAUUUAUUGGGUUUAAAGGGUGCGUAGGCGGUCGGAUAAGUUAGAGGUGAAAGCCCGAGGCUCAACUGUGAAAUUGCCUCUGAUACUGUUCGUCUUGAGAGUAGUUGCGGUAGGCGGAAUGUAUGGUGUAGCGGUGAAAGGCUUAGAGAUCAUACAGAACACCGAUUGCGAAGGCAGCUUACCAAGCUACUUCUGACAUUGAGGCACGAAAGCGUGGGGAGCAAACAGGAUUAGAUACCCUUGUAGUC